AACCAUUGAUAGUUAUCAAAAUACUCUCUCUUUGUCCUUCUCCACUCUGUUUACGAUCAAUUCUUGACUCCUUUCUUAAAUAAAAAAAACACCAAGUCUCGUGGGUUUUUAGGCUCUUGAUUUUGAUCCGCAAUCAUGCUCAAAAACCCAAUUAAGCCUCCCUAAAUUCUCUAAUUUUUAUCUAAUACGUUUCACUGUCUGCUUUCGUGUUCUCUCAAAUUUUAUGUUCUUCAUCAAUUCGUGCUUUUACAUUAGAUUUUGUGUAUGUGAACCGAGAGGUAUAGAGGCUGCUCUGAUAUGCACAAACAGGAUGGCCCCAACACCGGAAUGACAAACCUUCACAUCAAAUUUCUCGGCUAUGCUGGACACAUUGACACAACUGAUUGCGCGAUAAAAAUAUGGGGUUGUUGUGAACGGAACAGGGAAUUCAACAGUUUAUGCAUUCCAUGAGUGCAUGAAAGACCACGACCAAAUAUAUUGUAAUCUCUGCUUCGCCCAGUGGAAGACCCGGAUCCUGCGUUGCCGCCCUUUUCAACAAGCCACCCGAGGAGGUAGAAAAGGUAUUCCACACACAAGUUCUAUAACAAUUCGGGAAGUUUCGCAACAGGAGGACCUAGAGGGCGUAGCAAGUUAGCUAUGAUUCUGGCUGUCACAUCUUCUGUUGUGGCCUUUGUGUUGAUUGUUGCAGUGACCAUUUUCUUAGUGAAGAUCAAAGUUGUGAAGAAGAGGAGAGAAAGGAAGGAACUGGGUGCUCUAUUGGCAACUGUGAACAAGUCCAAGCUCAAUUUCUCAUACGAAAUGCUUGAGAAGGUGACAAAUUAUUUCCACCAAUCUAAUAAGCUCGGACAUGGAGGAUCUGGUGCAGUUUACAAAGUGAGUUAUGCUUUCAAGAUCAUUUUCUCCGCUGAGAAUUAGCACUUGCUGGACCUGAGAGCAUUCUUGUUUAUGAAUAUGUGCCUAAUCAAAGUCUUUACGAUUACCUCUUUGCACAUUCAACUGUUUUCUUGAUUAGCGCGGGACUGUUCGCGAAAUCAGAAAGGAAGGGUUAGCAACAUCGUGGCAACUUCACUUUGAUUAGACUUGCUGCAAUGCUACCAUUCCAACCCUAUCAGACGGUGAGGAAGUGGCUUGCGUCUGUCAAUUCCGAUGUUUAUUUGGUGUUCUUCUUAUUGAAGUUAUUUGUGGAAAGAAGAACAAUUCCUUCUCUCAAGAUUCAGUUCCUAUGCUACACAUGGUAAAUUUUAGUUCAGUUCCCAAAUGAAUAAUAUUAUCUAUUCUAUUUCU